ACUUUAACUUGAUUCAAAUCUAAAAGUGAUAGAUGAUAUGCCAAAAUUGCUCAAAGAGCUACUAAGAUCAAUGCUUGUUGCCCAGAUAGACAACCCAAGAGGGGGGGUGAAUUGGGUUUUACACUAAUUUUUCAAUUAAAACGUUUGUGGAUAACUAAUUAAUUCUUUUUGCUGGUUAAUUAAUUAGAUGCUGCGUGCAGUGAAUGAAAAAAAGUGCAAAUAACAAGACAAUCACAAACACAAGGAUUUUAUAGUGGUUCGGAGCUAACCCUUGCUCCUACGUCCACUCCCCAAGUCUCACUUGGGAAUUCACUAUAACCCCUCGGAUUACAGCCGGUUGUUUUGCAAGCUCACAACCCAACUUGUUGUUUUACGAGGUCACAACGAACUCGGUCGGUUUUCCCAGGCUCACCGACUAGAACCACCCCGAUUGUUUUUCUGGGAUCACAAUCGAACCCUUACACGUUGGUUUCAACUGAUGCAAAAAUAAAAUUGUUCUCCCA
rnacentral:lncRNA from 1 species